rnacentral:rRNA from 1 species
CGAACGUCGUGAGUCAGUUCGGUCCCUAUCUGCUGUUGGCGUGUGAGAUUUUAGUAGAGUAGCUCCUAGUACUAGAGGACCGGAGUGUACGAACGACUGGCGUUCCUGUUGUUUCGCCAGAAGAAUUGCCGGGUAGCUACGUUUGGACGGGAUAAACUCUGUAAGCAUCUAAGGGUGAAGACUCCUUCAAGAUUAGAUCUCUCUGUUGAAAAUCAGUAAGGAACGUUGGAGACU